rnacentral:rRNA from 1 species
GGCCAGACUCCUACGGGAGGCAGCAGUGGGGAAUAUUGCACAAUGGGGGAAACCCUGAUGCAGCGACGCCGCGUGAGUGAAGAAGUAUUUCGGUAUGUAAAGCUCUAUCAGCAGGGAAGAAAAUGACGGUACCUGACUAAGAAGCCCCGGCUAACUACGUGCCAGCAGCCGCGGUAAUACGUAGGGGGCAAGCGUUAUCCGGAUUUACUGGGUGUAAAGGGAGCGUAGACGGCAUGGCAAGUCAGAUGUGAAAGCCCGGGGCUCAACCCCGGGACUGCAUUUGAAACUGUCAGGCUGGAGUGCAGGAGAGGUAAGUGGAAUUCCUAGUGUAGCGGUGAAAUGCGUAGAUAUUAGGAGGAACACCAGUGGCGAAGGCGGCUUACUGGACUGUAACUGACGUUGAGGCUCGAAAGCGUGGGGAGCAAACAGGAUUAGAUACCCAGUA